UCACCCCUCAAGCCCCGUGCUUGGUGUUGGACGGCUUGGUUCGGUGCACGAACCCCUCCUAAAGACAAUGACGGCGGCCUGUGGUUCCCCCGGUACACUGAGCUUUUUCACGGAGCACGUAUCGGACGAGGGCGUCCAGGCCACGGUCCUCUCCUUUCACUAGGAAAUUUUUCUAAA
rnacentral:misc_RNA from 1 species